AUUUGGAUAGCUUAAUUUAAAGUUUGAUGUUGAAAAUAUCAAGAUAGAAUUUAUAUUCUUUCAGAUA
rnacentral:tRNA from 1 species